rnacentral:tRNA from 1 species
GCCGUCAUCGUCUAGUGGUCAGGACGCAGGGUUCUCAGCCCUGUAACACGGGUUCGACUCCCGUUGACGGCACUA